CCGGCGCAGCGUCGACUACUGCGGCCAAACACAGUAGUAAAGUUUGUAAAAAGUGAAACGGACUCGUUUCGCGACGUGGACAAAUCGGUCGUAAACCACAGAAACAAGAAGUUGACGCCGAUCUACGGAAACGACGCGUGGACGUUAUCGGCGUGUCGGGGGAUACGACGCCCCGUAUCAAUGUUUCAACUAAAUUUUGCAACAAUACCGGUCGCUCGUCAUCGGUCCGUUAGAGAACCGUUUCGGGUGUGAAACGUCGC